ACGGAAGGCAGCAGUGGGGAAUAUUGGGCAAUGGGCGAAAGCCUGACCCAGCAACGCCGCGUGAAGGAAGAAGGUUUUCGGAUUGUAAACUUCUUUUAUCAGGGACGAAGAAAGUGACGGUACCUGAUGAAUAAGCCACGGCUAACUACGUGCCAGCAGCCGCGGUAAUACGUAGGUGGCAAGCGUUAUCCGGAUUUACUGGGUGUAAAGGGCGCGUAGGCGGGGAUGCAAGUCAGGUGUGAAAUCUAUGGGCUUAACUCAUGAACUGCAUUUGAAACUGUAUCUCUUGAGUGUCGGAGAGGUAGAUGGAAUUCCUAGUGUAGCGGUGAAAUGCGUAGAUAUUAGGAGGAACACCAGUGGCGAAGGCGAUCUACUGGACGAUAACUGACGCUGAGGCGCGAAAGCGUGGGGAGCAAACAGGAUUAGAUACCCUGGUA
rnacentral:rRNA from 1 species